rnacentral:rRNA from 1 species
GAUGAACGCUAGCUACAGGCUUAACACAUGCAAGUCGAACGGUAACAGGAAGAAGCUUGCUUCUUUGCUGACGAGUGGCGGACGGGUGAGUAAUGUCUGGGAAACUGCCUGAUGGAGGGGGAUAACUACUGGAAACGGUAGCUAAUACCGCAUAACGUCGCAAGACCAAAGAGGGGGGACCCUUCGGGCCUCUUGCCAUCGGAUGUGCCCAGAUGGGAUUAGCUAGUAGGUGGGGUAACGGCUCACCUAGGCGACGAUCCCUAGCUGGUCUGAGAGGAUGACCAGCCACACUGGAACUGAGACACGGUCCAGACUCCUACGGGAGGCAGCAGUGGGGAAUAUUGCACAAUGGGCGCAAGCCUGAUGCAGCCAUGCCGCGUGUAUGAA